CUUCAACUCAAGAUAGCACCUGCUCCUUAGUUACAAAAAGUUCCUCACAGGAAAUUUUCAGGCGUGCCCAUAAAUCUCCUCGCUGUUUGUUUGGGAGAACAGGGUUUUCUCGUCUGUAACAGAAUAGUCAUGGCAUUUGCUAUGGAAUGCUGGUGGCAAUCUAGUCAGAAGAGGACGCCGUGCUUCACUAAUUUUCCCUUUUUGUUGUUGGGGGUGACUUCUUCCCAGGGAUGUUAUUCUUGACCCCCCGGGGCAAACGGAGGUGUUCACCUGGUCAGCGUCAGGAGCCAUCCUACCUGAGGCCCUGGCUCCCUCUUUCCCUUCGGUUGCCACGUGUGUGCCGGACACCUCUGGCAGGACUAACCCUGUGGCUUUUAUGUCCAACGUGCUGUGUGCCUGCAGUAUCCUGUCCAAGACCAAGCUACCUUUCCUCGUGGGAAUGGACUGGCCGGGCUUUGGCAGUCUGGCCCCUCGAAAGACUAAAGUGACCUCUUCCAGCAGGGGAAGACUUUCUGGCAAGCGGUGCCAGAAAGAACUGGAGUUUCUGGAGAAUAAAAGCUGGAGGUGUGCCCCCGAUAAUCCUCGC